rnacentral:lncRNA from 1 species
AUGCCCCACAGUGACGUCACANNNNNNNNNNGGGGCUGGGGGUCCCCGUCACUGUCUCCGUGGGGCUGGGGGUCCUCAUCCCCCCCCUCGGUGUCUCUGUGGGGCUGGGGGUCCUCGCUCCCCCCCUCGCUGUCUCCAUGGGACUGGGGGUCCCUCUUGGUGUCUCCGUGGGGCUGGGGGUCCUCGUCCCCCCCUCGCUGUUGUUAUGGGUCUAGGGGUCCUCCUCGGUGUCUCCGUGGGGCUGAGGGUCCCCCUUGCUUUCUCCAUGGGGCUGGGGGUCCCUCUUGGUGUCUCAGUGGGGCUGGGGGUCCUCAUCCUCCUCCUCGCUGUCCCCAUGGGGCUGGGGGUCCCCUUUGCUGUCCCCAUGGGUCUAGGGGUCCUCGUUCCCCCCCUUGCUCUCUCCGUGGGUCUGGGGGUCCUCCUCGCUGUCUCCGUGGGGCUGGGGGUCCUCAUCCCCCCCCUCGCUGUCUCCGUGGGGCUGGGGGUCCCCGUUGCUGUCCCCGUGGGGCUGGGGGUCCUCAUCCUCCCCCUCGCUGUCCCCAUGGGGCUGGGGGUCCCCCUCGGUGUCGUUAUGGGUCUAGGGGUCCCCCUCGCCUUCUCCGUGGGGCUGGGGGUCGUCGUCCCCCCCCUCGGUGUCUCCGUGGGGCUGGGGGUCCUCGUCCCCCCCCUCGGUGUCCCCAUGGGGCUGGGGGUCCUCAUUCCCCCCCUCACUGUCGUUAUGGGUCUAGGGGUCCUCCUCGCUGUCUCCGUGGGGCUGGGGAUCCCCCUCGUAGUCCCCAUGGGGCUGGGGGUCCUUGUCCCCCCCGUCACUGUCUCUAUGGGUCUAGGGGUCCUCAUCCUCCUCCUCGCUGUCUCCGUGGGGCUGGGGGUCCCCCUCAGUGUCUCUGUGGGGCUGGGGGUCCCCGUCACUGUCUCCGUGGGGCUGGGGGUCCUCAUCCCCCCCCUCGGUGUCUCUGUGGGGCUGGGGGUCCCCCUCAGUGUCUCUGUGGGGCUGGGGGUCCUCGCUCCCCCCCUCGCUGUCUCCAUGGGACUGGGGGUCCCUCUUGGUGUCUCCGUGGGGCUGGGGGUCCUCGUCCCCCCCUCGCUGUUGUUAUGGGUCUAGGGGUCCUCCUCGGUGUCUCCGUGGGGCUGAGGGUCCCCCUUGCUUUCUCCAUGGGGCUGGGGGUCCCUCUUGGUGUCUCAGUGGGGCUGGGGGUCCUCAUCCUCCUCCUCGCUGUCCCCAUGGGGCUGGGGGUCCCCUUUGCUGUCCCCAUGGGUCUAGGGGUCCUCGUUCCCCCCCUUGCUCUCUCCGUGGGUCUGGGGGUCCUCCUCGCUGUCUCCGUGGGGCUGGGGGUCCCCCUCAGUGUCUCUGUGGGGCUGGGGGUCCCCG